ACCACUUUUGAUAAGCUAUAAUAUGCAUAGUUCAUGUUCACUAAUCACUAUUACUAUCCGAUGAACUAUGAUAUGUAUAGGUUAUAUUCACCAUCACCACCACUUUUGAUAAGCUAUAAUAUGCAUAGUUCAUGUUCACUAAUCACUAUUACUAUCCGAUGAACUAUGAUAUGUAUAGGUUAUAUUCACCAUCACCACCACUUUUGAUAAGCUAUAAUAUGCAUAGUUCAUGUUCACUAAUCACUAUUACUAUCCGAUGAACUAUGAUAUGUAUAGGUUAUAUUCACCAUCACCACCACUUUUGGUAAACUAUAGUAUGCAUAGUUUAUGAUCACAGUCACUAUUACUAUUUCGUGCACUACACCAGGAUUGGUUCCGGUUAUUGGGUUUAAGUCCACAUUAAAUUUUCGCAUUGUUAGACUUCAACUAUAAUCGUUGAGCGUAUAUGCUUGAGUCAUACAAGAAUUUAGUCUGGAUUGGCUUAGAAUUGGUGGUGCCCGCCUCAUCUCCUGUUCCUCGUUGGGUUGUGGACCUAGGGCAGACCCACUAUAUUCAACGUUUUAUCUAACUUAAAUCUUAUAUAACUUAUAUACGCUGGACGAUUAUAGGGGAAAUCUACGGGUCAAUCUAGGGUUCAUUAAUACAUCAUAUAGGAAUAAUCUGUUUACACUUAGC
rnacentral:lncRNA from 1 species